GUAAAAAGUCGUAACCAGGGGUUCCCGGUAAGUUGAACCCUGCGGGAAGGAUCAUUACAGGAUUUUUGAGAAUUUGUGCUUUAACUGCACUUUUCUUAUCUACACACGUGUUUUGGUUUUAUUCUUUAAACUUGCUUUGGCAGUGGCUGCUUAAUUGCUCUGCUGCCAGAGGAUAAACUCAACCUAAAUUUUUUAUUUUAAACUAGUCAACUGAUUAUAUUUAUUAAUAGUCAAAACUUUCAACAACGGAUCUCUUGGUUCUCGCAUCGAUGAAGAACGCAGCGAAAUGCGAUAAGUAAUAUGAAUUGCAGAUAUUCGUGAAUCAUCGAAUCUUUGAACGCACAUUGCGCCCUCUGGUAUUCCGGAGGGCAUGCCUGUUUGAGCGUCAUUUCUCCCUCAAACCCCCGGGUUUGGUGAUGAGCAAUACGCCAGGUUUGCUUGAAAGUUAGGAGGAGUAUUUAUAACAAUGUAUUAGGUCUAACCACUCCAUUGUGCUUAAUAAAAGCUCCAAUCUAUAUUUCAAACUUCGACCUCAAAUCAGGUAGGAUUACCCGCUGAACUUAAGCAUAUCAAUAAGCGGAGGAA
rnacentral:rRNA from 1 species